GUCUUUGGGUUCUGGGGGGAGUAUGGUCGCANGGCUGAAACUUAAAGAAAUUGACGGAAGGGCACCACCAGGCGUGCUUAAUUUGACUCAACACGGGGAAACUCACCAGGUCCAGACACAAUAAGGAUUGACAGAUUGAGAGCUCUUUCUUGAUCUUGUGGGUGGUGGUGCAUGGCCGU
rnacentral:rRNA from 1 species